GAUGAACGCUGGCGGCGUGCCUAAUACAUGCAAGUCGAGCGAACGGACGAGAAGCUUGCUUCUCUGAUGUUAGCGGCGGACGGGUGAGUAACACGUGGAUAACCUACCUAUAAGACUGGUAUCACUUCGGGAAACCGUAUCUAAUACCGGAUAAUAUUUUGAACCGCAUGGUUCAAAAGUGAAAGACGGUCUUGCUGUCACUUAUAGAUGGAUCCGCGCUGCAUUAGCUAGUUGGUAAGGUAACGGCUUACCAAGGCAACGAUGCAUAGCCGACCUGAGAGGGUGAUAGGCCACACUGGAACUGAGACACGGUCCAGACUCCUAAGGGAGGCAGCAGUAGGGAAUCUUCCGCAAUGGGCGAAAGCCUGACGGAGCAACGCCGCGUGAGUGAUGAAGGUCUUCGGAUCGUAAAACUCUGUUAUUAGGGAAGAACAUAUGUGUAAGUAACUGUGCACAUCUUGACGGUACCUAAUCAGAAAGCCACGGCUAACUGCGUG
rnacentral:rRNA from 1 species